rnacentral:rRNA from 1 species
UACGAAGGGGACUAGCGUUGUUCGGAAUUACUGGGCGUAAAGCGCACGUAGGCGGAUUUGUUAGUCAGGGGUGAAAUCCCGGGGCUCAACCUCGGAACUGCCUUUGAUACUGCAAAUCUCGAGUCCGAUAGAGGUGGGUGGAAUUCCUAGUGUAGAGGUGAAAUUCGUAGAUAUUAGGAAGAACACCAGUGGCGAAGGCGGCCCACUGGUCCGGUACUGACGCUGAGGUGCGAAAGCGUGGGGAGCAAACAGG